rnacentral:ncRNA from 1 species
GAUGGUUUCACAGGAUCCAGUGACAACGCCAGAGGAAACUCUGGUGGAAGUCCGAAGCGCCUCUGACGUGCAAAUCGAUUGUUGGAACCAGGUGUAUGAGUGAAAGACCAAUCGAGCCGUCUAGUAG